AAAUUAAAAAUAUUAAUAUUUAUGUUUAUAAUAGAUUUUUUAUAAAAGUAAUUUAAUUAUUUAAAGUUUUAGUAUUUAGUAAAAAUUAAUUUUUAGAUUUAUAGUUUAAUAGUAUUGUGAAAGAAUUAUUUAAAUUAAAAAAAGAAUAUUGUUAGUACCUUUUGUAUCAGGGUUAAUUAAAAUUUUUAAUUUUUUUUUAAUUUCUCAAAAUUUAUAGAGUUAAUUUUAUUAUUAAUUUAUUGUGUUAUAAAUAUUUAUAAAAUAAUAUUAGUUUUGAAAUUUAAUUCGUUAUAUUAUAUUUAGUUAUUUAAGAUUUAAAUUUAAUUUAAAAUUUUAAAAGUUAUAAUUAUUUUUUAUAUUAAUAUUUUAAAUUUAAAUUAUUUUAGGGAUAAGCUUGAAAUUUUUAUAUAAUAAUUUAUUUAUUUUAAUAAUUUAUAGGAAUAGAAAUUUUUAUUAUAAGUUUGUAAAAAUUUAUUAUUUAUUUGUUUUUAAUUUAUUAUAAAUUUAUUUAUUUUUUAUAUUAAAUUUUAUUAAUUAAUGUUAAAUUAAUAGCAAUAAUGAUUAAAUUAGUAUAAUUUAUAUUUAUAGAUUAUGAAUUCGGCAAAAAUUAUUUUCAUCUGUUUAACAAAAACAUUGUAUUAAGUUUAAUUUAAUAUAGGAUCUGCUCAAUGAUUUAUUAAAUAGCUGCAGUAUUUUGACUGUGCAAAGGUAGCAUAAUAAUUAGUCUUUUAAUUGAGGACUUGUAUGAAAGAUUUGAUGAGAAAUAGACUUUAUUAUUUAUAUAAUUAGAAUUUUAUUUUUAAGUUAAAAAGCUUAAAUUAUUUAAAGGGACGAUAAGACCCUAUAAAACUUUAUAAAUAUUAAUUUUAAUUUUUUUGGAAAAUAAAUAUUUUAAUUUUAAUAUUUAUUUUAUUGGGGUGAUAAAAAAAUUUAAAUAACUUUUUUUAAAAUUUUACAUUAUUUAAUGAAUAUUUGAAUUAAAAUUUUUAAUUAAAGGAAAAAGUUACUUUAGGGAUAACAGCGUAAUUAAUUUUUUAAGUUCAAAUUUAAAAAUUAGUUUGCGACCUCGAUGUUGAAUUAAGAUUAAUCUUAGGUGCAAAAUUUUAAGUAUUAGGUCUGUUCGACCUUUAAAUUCUUACAUGAUUUGAGUUCAAACCGGUGUAAGCCAGGUUGGUUUCUAUCUUUUAAAAAAUAGAUUAUUUUAGUACGAAAGGAUUAAAUAAUUAAAUUAAAUUUUAUGAAAUGAAUUAAAUUAAUUUA
rnacentral:rRNA from 1 species